CAGCGAAACUGCGAAUGGCUCAUUAUAUAAGUUAUCGUUUAUUUGAUAGUACCUUACUACUUGGAUAACCGUGGUAAUUCUAGAGCUAAUACAUGCUAAAAAUCCCGACUUCGGAAGGGAUGUAUUUAUUAGAUUAAAAACCAAUGCCCUCUGGGCUCCUUGGUGAUUCAUGAUAACUCUUCGAAUCGCACGGCCUUGCGCCGGCGAUGGUUCAUUCAAAUUUCUUCCCUAUCAACUUUCGAUGUUUGGGUAUUGGCCAAACAUGGUUGCAACGGGUAACGGAGGGUUAGGGCUCGACCCCGGAGAAGGAGCCUGAGAAACGGCUACUACAUCCAAGGAAGGCAGCAGGCGCGCAAAUUACCCAAUCCCGAUUCGGGGAGGUAGUGACAAUAAAUACUGAUACAGGGCUCUUUUGGGUCUUGUAAUUGGAAUGAGUACAAUUUAAAUCUCUUAACGAGGAACAAUUGGAGGGCAAGUCUGGUGCCAGCAGCCGCGGUAAUUCCAGCUCCAAUAGCGUAUAUUAAAGUUGUUGUGGUUAAAAAGCUCGUAGUUGAACCUUGGGCCUGGCUGGCCGGUCCGCCUCACCGCGUGCACUGGUCCGGCCGGGCCUUUCCCUCUGUGGAACCCCAUGCCCUUCACUGGGCGUGGCGGGGAAACAGGACGUUUACUUUGAAAAAAUUAGAGUGCUCCAGGCAGGCCUAUGCUCGAAUACAUUAGCAUGGAAUAAUGAAAUAGGACGCGUGGUUCUAUUUUGUUGGUUUCUAGGACCGCCGUAAUGAUUAAUAGGGACAGUCGGGGGCAUCAGUAUUCAAUUGUCAGAGGUGAAAUUCUUGGAUUUAUUGAAGACUAACUACUGCGAAAGCAUUUGCCAAGGAUGUUUUCAUUAAUCAGGAACGAAAGUUAGGGGAUCGAAGACGAUCAGAUACCGUCGUAGUCUUAACCAUAAACUAUGCCGACUAGGGAUCGGACGAUGUUAUUUUUUGACGCGUUCGGCACCUUACGAGAAAUC
rnacentral:rRNA from 1 species